GGGAAGGGUGAAGAACGGUUUAACCCACGAACAACGGUUGCCUAGAAAAGAAGAAGAACUAAAGAACGCGGAGACAAAUUAAAAAACAAAUUGAAAAACCAACUCAAAUCCGCUGCAGUUCAUGUCAGUUUUAACACUUCCCACACGACCCAAUAUCCUCAUGCCAUUACACAGCAGUUUCUUUCAGUUUUUUUGCUUCAAUGAAUCUUCUUUCUGCAGAGCAUCAAGAUGUCAGGGAGCACCAAUGAAGAGCAUUUAGAUUUGAUGGGUUUGAUGUGAAUGGUAUGAAUCUCCCUCUCUCAUUUUGGUUUUUUUGCUUCAAUGAAUCUUCUUUCUGCAGAGCAUCAAGAUGUCAGGGAGCACCAGUGAAGAGCAUUUAGAUUUGAUGGGUUUGAUGUGAAUGACCUGUGAAGAUACUUGGCAACAGGUUGGUUGACAGUUAAAUUCUUCAGUAUGUUUUGGAUUUUUAAUUCUAUUUACUCUCGAUUUGAUUUUGAUUUUUAAUUAUUUUCCCUUCCCCUCAAGUUUGAUUGCAUUGCAUUGAUGUCUCUCUUUAUCUUUGAAACAUGGCCUUGCUGUUUAAUUUGAUUAUGCUAACACUAAUUCAUUCAUCCAUUCAUGCCCUCCGUCUUCUUCCGCACAAUGAAUUCCUCCACCUUUGUUGAAGUUUAUCUCUUUUCUUUUGUAAGAAGAAGCAGGGGAAGACUUCCCUAUCUUAGAGUAUCUAUAAGAUAUAUUUUUUUUCUUUUUCAAUUUUUCGAUUUAAUUAGUUUAAUUCCUCCUUUGUAUGCAUCUAAGUGUGUUUUAUGGGAUUUGCUGCGUACUGUGUUGUUGGCAAACAGAUAUCUAUUGCAUUUUUAGAAAGGAUGAAAGCUGACUUAGAAAAAGAUAUGGGGUGGGUCAUUUGCUGGAGGAGAAAGCAGCGCAGUAGAGACUCAAAACAGAGAGAGGGGUGGAAUUAAGGAAUAAGAAAAGAAAAGAAAAGAAAAGCACACGUUAGAC